GGCCAGGUCCGAAGGUAGUGAGUUAUCGCAACUGACUGUUUACAAUCAGUUGUAGAUCAAACUUAUUGUUUUAUUCUUUCCUUCUUCUCACUACUGCACUUGACUAGCCUUAA
rnacentral:Y_RNA from 1 species